rnacentral:misc_RNA from 1 species
UGGUCCUUAUAUGGCUGGUGGAGGUUUUGGUGGUAGGGCUUAUGGUGGUUUUGUGGGUAGCCAAUACAAUGCUGGAUAUGGGGGCGGAUAUGGAGGAUACGGACUGUACAGAGGGUACUCAGGCUAUGGUGGGGACUAUGAUAUGGGUGGUUUUGAUCAACCAAUCGGAGGAUAUGGGUAUAAUACUUAUGAUGCCAGCCUUGGAGCUGGUUAUGGAAGUUCAAGUGGUGCAGCUGGUUUAUAUGGAAGUAGGAGGGCUUCUGGAGGCAAUGUGAAUGGUAAUCCGCGGUUUCAUCCGUAUUCAAGGUAAAAGUAGUCGAGAUCGAAGUCCAGUAGCG